UACCGCAUAACGUCGCAAGACCAAAGAGGGGGACCUUCGGGCCUCUUGCCAUCGGAUGUGCCCAGAUGGGAUUAGCUAGUAGGUGGGGUAACGGCUCACCUAGGCGACGAUCCCUAGCUGGUCUGAGAGGAUGACCAGCCACACUGGAACUGAGACACGGUCCAGACUCCUACGGGAGGCAGCAGUGGGGAAUAUUGCACAAUGGGCGCAAGCCUGAUGCAGCCAUGCCGCGUGUAUGAAGAAGGCCUUCGGGUUGUAAAGUACUUUCAGCGGGGAGGAAGGGAGUAAAGUUAAUACCUUUGCUCAUUGACGUUACCCGCAGAAGAAGCACCGGCUAACUCCGUGCCAGCAGCCGCGGUAAUACGGAGGGUGCAAGCGU
rnacentral:rRNA from 1 species